rnacentral:rRNA from 1 species
AUACGUAGGGGGCGAGCGUUGUCCGGAAUUACUGGGUGUAAAGGGAGCGUAGGCGGGCGUGCAAGUCAGAUGUGAAAUACAUGGGCUCAACCCAUGGGCUGCAUUUGAAACUGCAUUUCUUGAGGGAAGUAGAGGUAAGCGGAAUUCCUGGUGUAGCGGUGAAAUGCGUAGAUAUCAGGUGGAACACCGGUGGCGAAGGCGGCUUCCUGGGCGUUUACUGAAGCUGAUGAUCGAGAGCGUGGGGAGCAAACAGGAUUAGAUGCCCUGGUGGUCCACGCGGUAAACGAUGAUUACUAGGUGGGGUGGGACUGACACCUUCCGUGCGGCAGUUAACACAAUAAGUAAUCCGCCUGGGGAGUACGGCCGCAAGGUUGAAACUCAAAGGAAUUGACGGGG